rnacentral:rRNA from 1 species
CCUACGGGGGGCAGCAGUGAGGAAUAUUGGUCAAUGGGCGCGAGCCUGAACCAGCCAAGUCGCGUGAGGGAGGACUGCCCUACGGGUUGUAAACCUCUUUUGCCGGGGAGCAACGGGCGCCACGUGUGGCGUCACUGAGAGUACCCGGAGAAAAAGCAUCGGCUAACUCCGUGCCAGCAGCCGCGGUAAUACGGAGGAUGCGAGCGUUAUCCGGAUUUAUUGGGUUUAAAGGGUGCGUAGGCGGAUUGUUAAGUCAGUGGUCAAAUCGAGGGGCUCAACCCCUUUCCGCCAUUGAAACUGGCGUUCUUGAGUGGGAGAGAAGUAUGCGGAAUGCGUGGUGUAGCGGUGAAAUGCAUAGAUAUCACGCAGAACCCCGAUUGCGAAGGCAGCAUGCCGGCUUCCGACUGACGUUGAGGCACGAAAGCGUGGGGAGCAAACAGGAUUAGAUACCCUUGUAGUC